rnacentral:rRNA from 1 species
AUUGAACGCUGGCGGCAUGCUUUACACAUGCAAGUCGAACGGCAGCGCGGGCUUCGGCCUGGCGGCGAGUGGCGAACGGGUGAGUAAUGCAUCGGAACGUGCCCAGUAGUGGGGGAUAGCCCGGCUAAAGCCGGAUUAAUACCGCAUACGACCUGAGGGUGAAAGCGGGGGACCGAAAGGCCUCGCGCUAUUGGAGCGGCCGAUGUCGGAUUAGCUAGUUGGUGGGGUAAAGGCUUACCAAGGCGACGAUCCGUAGCUGGUCUGAGAGGACGACCAGCCACAAGAGGACUGAGACACGGCCAAGACUCCGACGGGAGGCAGCAGUGGGGAAUUUUGGACAAUGGGGGCAACACUGAGCCAGCAAUGACGCGUGCGGGAAGAAGGCCUUCGGGUUGUAAACCGCUUUUGUAAGGGAAGAAAUCCUCUGGGCUAAUACCCCGGGGGGAUGACGGUACCGGAAGAAUAAGCACCGGCUAACUAAGUG